AACGAACGCUGGCGGCAUGCCUAACACAUGCAAGUCGAACGAGACCUUCGGGUCUAGUGGCGCACGGGUGCGUAACGCGUGGGAACCUGCCCUUAGGUUCGGAAUAACUCCCCGAAAGGGGUGCUAAUACCGGAUAAUGUCUUCGGACCAAAGAUUUAUCGCCUUUGGAUGGGCCCGCGUUGGAUUAGCUAGUUGGUAGGGUAAAAGCCUACCAAGGCGACGAUCCAUAGCUGGUCUGAGAGGAUGAUCAGCCACACUGGGACUGAGACACGGCCCAGACUCCUACGGGAGGCAGCAGUGGUGAAUAUUGACAAUGGGCGAAAGCCUGAUCCAGCAAUGCCGCGUGAGUGAUGAAGGCCUUAGGGUUGUAAAGCUCUUUUACCCGGGAUGAUAAUGACAGUACCGGGAGAAUAAGCGCCGGCUAACUCCGU
rnacentral:rRNA from 1 species